rnacentral:rRNA from 1 species
AGAGUUUGAUCCUGGCUCAGAAUGAACGUUGGCGGCGUGGAUUAGGCAUGCAAGUCGAACGAAUCCCAUCUGGGUAACUGGGUGGGGGAAGUGGCGAAAGGGGCAGUAAGGCGUGGGUAACGUACCUCGGGGAUCGGGAUAGCCAUUCUAACGAGUGGGUAAUACCGGGCGAUCUGGCGUGAAGACAUCUUCGUGCCAGGAAAUGAAUUUCGCCUCGAGAGCGGCCCACGUAGUAUUAGCUUGUUGGUGAGGUAACGGCUCACCAAGGCCAAGAUGCUUAGCAGGUGUGAGAGCACGACCUGCGCCACUGGCACUGAGACACUGGCCAGACUCCUACGGGAGGCUGCAGUCGAGGAUCUUCGGCAAUGGGCGCAAGCCUGACCGAGCGACGCCGCGUGUGCGAUGAAGGCCUUCGGGUUGUAAA